UGUUCCAUUGCUGAGUGCCUGUAUUGUUUUGAUUUGCAGGAUUGGCUGUUCCCCAGCCGCUCGUAGUGUUAGCUGGAGAUAAACAAAUUAGAUAAUUACGGUAACAAAAGAAUGUUAAUGCAGCCUCGGUAUCCGUUGCUUACGGGUGGAGUGCACAGAACGUCACUGGCGCAUUUUUGGCACGCUCGUAUGGACA